GACGAACGCUGGCGGCGUGCUUAACACAUGCAAGUCGAACGGAAAGGCCUUUUCGGAGGUACUCGAGUGGCGAACGGGUGAGUAACACGUGGGUGAUCUGCCCUGCACUCUGGGAUAAGCCUGGGAAACUGGGUCUAAUACCGGAUAGGACCGCACUUUAGUGUGUGUGGGGGAAAGUUUUUUCGGUGUAGGAUGAGCCCGCGGCCUAUCAGCUUGUUGGUGGGGUAAUGGCCUACCAAGGCGGCGACGGGUAGCCGGACUGAGAGGUUGGUCGGCCACAUUGGGACUGAGAUACGGCCCAGACUCCUACGGGAGGCAGCAGUGGGGAAUAUUGCACAAUGGGCGCAAGCCUGAUGCAGCGACGCCGCGUGGGGGAUGACGGCCUUCGGGUUGUAAACGCCUUUCGCCAGGGACGAAGCGUUUUGUGACGGUACCUGGAGAAGAAGCACCGGCUAACUACGUG
rnacentral:rRNA from 1 species